rnacentral:rRNA from 1 species
UACGUAGGGUGCGAGCGUUGUCCGGAAUUAUUGGGCGUAAAGGGCGCGUAGGCGGCCAUUCAAGUCGGAGGUGAAAGCCCAGGGCUCAACCCUGGAAUUGCCUUCGAUACUGUUUGGCUCGAGACCGGAAGAGGUAAGUGGAACUGCGAGUGUAGAGGUGAAAUUCGUAGAUAUUCGCAAGAACACCAGUGGCGAAGGCGGCUUACUGGUCCGGUUCUGACGCUGAGGCGCGAAAGCAUGGGGAGCGAACAGG